rnacentral:tRNA from 1 species
GCCGACAUAGCUCAGUUGGCAGAGCGCAUUCUUGGUAAGAAUGAGGUCCCCGGUUCGACCCCGGGUGUCGGCUCCA